GAUCCUAGCUUGCUAGGAGGCGUCGAGCGGCGGACGGGUGAGUAACGCGUAGGAAUCUACCCAGUAGCGGGGGAUAGCCCGGGGAAACUCGGAUUAAUACCGCAUACGCCCUAAGGGGGAAAGCAGGGGAUCUUCGGACCUUGCACUAUUGGAUGAGCCUGCGUUGGAUUAGCUAGUUGGUGGGGUAAAGGCCUACCAAGGCGACGAUCCAUAGCUGGUCUGAGAGGAUGAUCAGCCACACUGGGACUGAGACACGGCCCAGACUCCUACGGGAGGCAGCAGUAGGGAAUAUUGGACAAUGGGGGCAACCCUGAUCCAGCCAUGCCGCGUGUGUGAAGAAGGCUUUCGGGUUGUAAAGCACUUUCAGUGAGGAAGAAAUGGCAGCGGUUAAUACCCGCGGUCUAUGACAUUACUCACAGAAGAAGGACCGGCUAACUCCGUGCCAGCAGCCGCGGUAAUACGGAGGGUCCGAGCGUUAAUCGGAAUUACUGGGCGUAAAGCGCGCGUAGGCGGUUAGAUCAGUCGGGUGUGAAAGCCCCGGGCUUAACCUGGGAACUGCAUUCGAUACUGUCUGACUGGAGUAUGGGAGAGGGUAGUGGAAUUCCACGUGUAGCGGUGAAAUGCGUAGAUAUGUGGAGGAACACCAGUGGCGAAGGCGGCUGCCUGGCCCAAUACUGACGCUGAGGUGCGAAAGCGUGGGGAGCGAACAGGAUUAGAUACCCUGCUAGUCCACGCCGUAUACGAUGUCAACUAGCCGUUGGAGGGCUUGACCCUUUAGUGGCGCAGCUAACGCGAUAAGUUGACCGCCUGGGGAGUACGGCCGCAAGG
rnacentral:rRNA from 1 species